rnacentral:rRNA from 1 species
AGUCGAACGAUGAUGGACCUUCGGGUUUGGAUUAGUGGCGAACGGGUGAGUAACACGUGAGUAACCUGCCCUUCACUGUGGGAUAACCUUCGGAAACGUGGGCUAAUACCGCAUAGGAGCUCCUGCUGCAUGGUGGGGGUUCGAAAGAUUUUUUGGUGGGGGAUGGGCUCGCGGCCUAUCAGCUUGAUGGUGGGGUGAUGGCCUACCAUGGCUUCGACGGGUAGCCGGCCUGAGAGGGCGACCGGCCACACUGGGACUGAGAUACGGCCCAGACUCCUACGGGAGGCAGCAGUGGGGAAUAUUGCACAAUGGGCGGAAGCCUGAUGCAGCAACGCCGCGUGCGGGAUGACGGCCUUCGGGUUGUAAACCGCUUUCACCUGUGACGAAGUUUUUUUGACGGUAGCAGGAGAAGAAGCACCGGCUAACUACGUGCC